rnacentral:sRNA from 1 species
CCCUAGCCCUGAUAGAAGCGGUAUCCUUUUAUGUUGGGGUUCACCAUAAAAGAUACAAGUGGAUAGCAGGAAACAGC